rnacentral:rRNA from 1 species
AUUGAACGCUGGCGGCAGGCCUAACACAUGCAAGUCGAACGGUAACAGGAAGAAGCUUGCUUCUUUGCUGACGAGUGGCGGACGGGUGAGUAAUGUCUGGGAAACUGCCUGAUGGAGGGGGAUAACUACUGGAAACGGUAGCUAAUACCGCAUAACGUCGCAAGACCAAAGAGGGGGACCUUCGGGCCUCUUGCCAUCGGAUGCGCCCAGAUGGGAUUAGCUAGUAGGUGGGGUAACGGCUCACCUAGGCGACGAUCCCUAGCUGGUCUGAGAGGAUGACCAGCCACACUGGAACUGAGACACGGUCCAGACUCCUACGGGAGGCAGCAGUGGGGAAUAUUGCACAAUGGGCGCAAGCCUGAUGCAGCCAUGCCGCGUGUAUGAAGAAGGCCUUCGGGUUGUAAAGUACUUUCAGCGGGGAGGAAGGGAGUAAAGUUAAUACCUUUGCUCAUUGACGUUACCCGCAGAAGAAGCACCGGCUAACUCCGUG